rnacentral:rRNA from 1 species
AGAACGAACGCUGGCGGCAUGCCUAAUACAUGCAAGUCGAACGAACACUUCGGUGUUAGUGGCGCACGGGUGCGUAACGCGUGGGAAUCUGCCCUUGGGUUCGGAAUAACAGUUGGAAACGACUGCUAAUACCGGAUGAUAUCGAAAGAUCAAAGAUUUAUCGCCCAGGGAUGAGCCCGCGUAGGAUUAGCUAGUUGGUGAGGUAAAGGCUCACCAAGGCGACGAUCCUUAGCUGGUCUGAGAGGAUGAUCAGCCACACUGGGACUGAGACACGGCCCAGACUCCUACGGGAGGCAGCAGUAGGGAAUAUUGGACAAUGGGCGAAAGCCUGAUCCAGCAAUGCCGCGUGCAGGGAAGAAGGCCUUCGGUUGUAAC